GACGAACCGAGCGAACGUUGUUCGGAAUCACUGGGCUUAAAGGGCGCGUAGGCGGGCCGCCGCGUCCGGGGUGAAAUCCUCCCGCUCAACGGGAGAACGGCCUCGGAUACGGGCGGCCUGGAGGGGGGUAGGGGCGUGCGGAACUGUGGGUGGAGCGGUGAAAUGCGUUGAUAUCCACAGGAACUCGGUGGCGAAGGCGGCACGCUGGACCCCACCUGACGCUGAGGCGCGAAAGCCAGGGGAGCGAACGGG
rnacentral:rRNA from 1 species